rnacentral:tRNA from 4 species
GGGCCCAUAGCUCAACGGUCAGAGCGCUCGGCUCAUAACCGAUGCGAUCCAGGUUCGAAUCCUGGUGGGCCCA